ensembl:lncRNA
AAACAAACUCCAGUUAGUCCAGAAUGCAGCUGCAGAAGUCCUAACUAGAACCAGAAAGUUAAUUAUAAAAUAUUACUACUGAACGAUACAGCACUGAAUGGUCUCGCGUCACUUUUGGUCUUUUAUGGUCUGCUAUGCCUACUUAUAGCAAAAAGUGCAGGCUAUUUGUUGGUACCUCGAAUAGUGAAGGCUACAGCAAGGGGUAGCGCUUUCUCUUACAAAGCCCCACAGUUAUGGAAUAGCCUUCCAAUUAGUGUUCGGGACUUGGACACAGUCUCAGCGUUUAAGUCUAGGCUGAAAACAUAUUUGUUUACUCAAGCGUACCAUGAAUAGACUUUCUUUUACACAAAGUACACAGUCUUAUCCAUUAUGGGAUAGUAAGCAUAUUUAACAAUCUCUCCCUCUCUUUCCUCCCUCUCCCCCUCUCCUUCUGUCGAGCCACACAUGAUUUUAUGGAGAUGCCAGUGAUCCUGACCCUUUCUGCUCUCCCCUUUCUGGUUUCUUUGCAGAUGAGAAGAUAGAACAUGGAAUUUAAAAAUAAUAUUAAUAUUAAUUAAAGCUGCAGUACUGAACUUUUGCCUGUCUAUCGCCCUCUCUGUUUCAAACAUAAAAUGGCAAGUUUCUUGCGGAGUUAUUCUUUCUUUUUUUUACAUGGAUUGUGCUUUGGCACUGCUCCUCUGCGUGGAUGAAUCUGAUGGUUUGAGGUAUUUGUAUGAGUUGUAUAUUAGCUCCAAUACUUGACAAUGGAGAUUGCACUUGUAUUCCAAGUUAAGUCUAACAUCACUGAGACUAAUUAAGAUGGGCAGAAGUCACAUUCUCCUUGCAACCCUGCCAUGCACACCAUUUUUGUUCAGUGUUCUCCUGAUAGUGAAUGAUGGUCAAGGGUUCACAAACUUUCAAGCACCACUGUAAUCUCUUAAUGUCAGGAACUGUACAGCACCCCUGCCAGAUUAAUAAUAUAAUACAAUAUAAUAUUAACCUAUACAGUGCACCCGGAAAGUAUUCACAGCGCUUCACUUUUUCCACAUUUUGUUAUGUUACAGCCUUAUUCCAAAAUGGAUUAAAUUCAUUAUUUUCCUCAAAAUUCUACAAACAAUUCCCCAUAGUGACAACAUGAAAGAAGUUUGUUUGAAAUCUUUGCAAAUUUAUUAAAAAUAAAAAACAAAAAAAGCACAUGUACAUAAGUAUUCACAGCCUUUGCUCAAUACUUUGUUGAAGCAGCUUUGGCACCAAUUACAGCCUCAAGUCUUUUUGAAUAUGAUGCUACAAACUUAGCACACCUAUUUUUGGGCAGUUUCUCCCAUUCUUCUGUGCAGGACCUCUCAAGCUCCAUCAGGUUGGAUGGGGAGUGUCGGUACACAGCCAUUUUCAGAUAUCUCCUGAGAUGUUCAAUCAGGUUCAAGUCUGGGCUCUGGCUGGGCCACUUAAGGACAUUCACAGAGUUGUCCUGUAGCCACUCCUUUGUAAUCUUGGUUGUGUGCUUAGGGUCAUUGUCCUGUUGGAAGAUGAACCUUCACCCCAGUCUGAGGUCCAGAGCACUCUGGAGCAGGUUUUCAUCAAGGAUGUCUCUGUAUAUUGCUGUAUUCAUCUUUCCCUCGAUCCUGACUAGUCUCCCAGUUCCUUCUGCUGAAAAAC